rnacentral:rRNA from 1 species
GAUGAACGCUAGCUACAGGCUUAACACAUGCAAGUCGAGGGACCGGCGCACGGGUGAGUAACACGUAUCCACCCUGCCCUUUACCCGGAGAUAGCCUUUCGACAGAAAGAUUAAUACCCGAUGUAAAGGAUGGGGAUGCGUUGCAUUAGGUUGUUGGGUAGGUAAAGGCUCACCAAGCCUUCGCUGGAUUGGGGUUCUGCGAGGAAGGUCCCCCACAUUGGAACUGAGACACGGUCCAAACUCGUACGGGAGGCAGCAGUGAGGAAUAUUGGUCAAUGUGCGUUAGCCUGAACCAGCCAAGUAGCGUGAAGGAUGAAGGCUUAUGGGUCGUAAACUUCUUUUAUAUAAGAAUAUGUAUUAUAUGAAUAAGGAUCGGCUAACUCCGUGCCAGCAGCCGCGGUAAUUC